rnacentral:rRNA from 1 species
UAACACAUGCAAGUCGAACGGAGCACCCUUGAUUGAGGUUUCGGCCAAAUGAUAGGAAUGCUUAGUGGCGGACUGGUGAGUAACGCGUGAGGAACCUGCCUCUCAGAGGGGGACAACAGUUGGAAACGACUGCUAAUACCGCAUGACACAUUCGGGCGGCAUCGCCUGGAUGUCAAAGAUUUUAUCGCUGAGAGAUGGCCUCGCGUCUGAUUAGCUAGUUGGUGAGGUAACGGCCCACCAAGGCGACGAUCAGUAGCCGGACUGAGAGGUUGACCGGCCACAUUGGGACUGAGAUACGGCCCAGACUCCUACGGGAGGCAGCAGUGGGGAAUAUUGGGCAAUGGACGCAAGUCUGACCCAGCAACGCCGCGUGAAGGAAGAAGGCUUUCGGGUUGUAAACUUCUUUUGUCAGGGAAGAGCAGAAGACGGUACCUGACGAAUAAGCCACGGCUAACUACGUGCCAGCAGCCGCGGUAAUACGUAGGUGGCAAGCGUUGUCCGGAUUUACUGGGUGUAAAGGGCGUGCAGCCGGGCCGGCAAGUCAGAUGUGAAAUCCACGGGCUUAACCCGUGAACUGCAUUUGAAACUGUUGG